rnacentral:rRNA from 1 species
UACGUAGGUGGCAAGCGUUAUCCGGAUUUAUUGGGUGUAAAGGGCGUGUAGGCGGGAAUGCAAGUCAGAUGUGAAAACUCAGGGCUCAACCCUGAGCCUGCAUUUGAAACUGUAUUUCUUGAGUGCUGGAGAGGCAAUCGGAAUUCCGUGUGUAGCGGUGAAAUGCGUAGAUAUACGGAGGAACACCAGUGGCGAAGGCGGCCUGCUGGACUGCAACUGACGUUGAGGCCCGAAAGCGUGGGGAGCAAACAGG